CUGAGAACAUCAUUGUAAUUGAGUUUCAAUGUUAAGCGAUUGAAGUGUGGUUGGAUUAUACGAUAAUCUCCAUAAGUUUAUUUUUAUCACACGUACAAUAGUUUGUACAACUAAGCGACUCAUAAUGAGAAGAACAAACGAGUCAGUAUUGUGGUGGUUCUCGCUGAGGAGUGUGAGAUUACAAAAAGAUGAAACUGCUGCUUCUCAUCAUACCCCUCUUUGCCGCAGCGCUUUGUGAGUCAAAUCGAAUCACAGAUGUGAAAAACUGCAAAUGCGACAGCGGUUUCGAGGCAAGGGAAGAUCCGAAGAAUGGGUUCAAGUGCUUUGGAUUAGUACUGAGGAUCAUAGUUCCCUGCAACUUGGUGAAGAACCCCUCAUGCAAAUGCACUGAGGCAACUGGAAUCCUCGUUGACAACACUGGAACUUGGUGUUCCAGCUACGGUGGCGGUAGAGAGAUUAGGAGAUGGAACUGUGAGAAUAAAGAAGAAUGGGAUGAGUUCUACAAGAAUCAUCCAAAAGAAAUUCAAUUAUCCUUGUGAGCUCCAAUUGUUGGAACAUCUUUUUCAAUUAUAACUUAUUGAUUGAAUAAAUGUGUCUUAUCUAUUUGUCA